CCCCCCGAGGCGGGGGAGGGGAACGAUAUCCGAGGCCCGGAGGCGGCCCUGCGUCGGGACCAGGCACGCGGGGGCUGCCUCUGCACCCCCAGUCCAGGGCCGCGGGGCCUGGCCUCGCCGUGGGGUGGAGGAGAUGGGCCCAUUUCUGCCAGAGUGUGUUUCGUUCUUGUUGGACCUGACUGAGGCCAUGCAAAAGACUCCACUCUCAACAUCUUGACAUUUUUCUACAAGUCCCCUAACGUUCCAGCCUUGGCCCUCGUACAGGUACCAGAACAGGACUACCCCCUCCAAGCCUUGUCGCCCCUGACAGCGGGCGCCCUGAGCCUUCCUGACCCCGCAGGGGGGCUCGCCCGCGGGCCCCCCAUGAGCGCGCCCGGCUGAACAGCGGGGCGGCCGCGGUGGAGCCGGAACGCCGCGGGGGCGGCGGGGCCAUGGCCUCGCUGGACUUGCCAUACCGCUGCCCCCGC